rnacentral:rRNA from 1 species
UGUAACAAGGUCUCCGUUGGUGAACCAGCGGAGGGAUCAUUACAGAGUUACUACUCCAAACCCAUUGUGAACCUUACCUAUGUUCUGUUGCCUCGGCGGCGUCGGUCAGCGCCCCUCUGAAAGAGGACGAUGCCCCUCCCGCCGGCAGCACCAAACUCUUGAAUUUUACAGCGGAUACAGGUUCUGAUUUGAAAACAAAAAACAAGUUAAAACUUUCAACAACGGAUCUCUUGGUUCUGGCAUCGAUGAAGAACGCAGCGAAAUGCGAUAAGUAAUGUGAAUUGCAGAAUUCAGUGAAUCAUCGAAUCUUUGAACGCCCAUUGCGCCCGGCAGUAAUCUGCCGGGCAUGCCUGUCCGAGCGUCAUUUCAACCCUCGAACCUCCGUUUCCUCAGGGAAGCCCAGGGUCGGUGUUGGGGCGCUACGGCGAGUCCUCGCGACCCCCGUAGGCCCUGAAAUACAGUGGCGGUCCCGCCGCGGUUGCCUUCUGCGUAGUAAGUCUCUUUUGCAAGCUCGCAUUGGGCCCGGCGGAGGCCUGCCGUCAAACCACCUAACAACUCCCAGAUGGUUUGACCCUCGGAUCAGGUAGGGUUACCCGCUGAACUUAAGCAUAUCAA